rnacentral:rRNA from 1 species
GGCUCAGAACGAACGCGGGCGGCAUGCUUCAUACAUGCAAGUCGAACGCGAAAGUCCUUCGGGAUGAGUAAAGUGGCGCACGGGUGAGUAAUACGUAGGUGAUCUGCCUAAUAAUGGGGGACAACAUCGGGAAACCGAUGCUAAUACCGCAUACGUUGGAUGACAUUGAAAAAGUCCAAGAAAGGUGGCCUCUACUUGUAAGCUAUCGUUAUUAGAAGAGCCUGCGUCGUAUUAGCUUGUUGGUGGGGUAAUGGCUUACCAAGGCAACGAUACGUAACUGGUCUGAGAGGAUGAUCAGUCACACUGGAACUGAGACACGGUCCAGACUCCUACGGGAGGCAGCAGUAGGGAAUCUUGCACAAUGGGCGAAAGCCUGAUGCAGCAAUGCCGCGUGAGUGAGGAAGGCCUUCGGGUUGUAAAACUCUGUUCUUAGGGAAAAAUGUCUUAAUCGCUAAUAUCGGUUAGGAGUGAUGGUACCCAAGGAGAAAGCACCGGCUAACUUCGUGCCAGCAGCCGCGGUAAUACGAAGGGUGCAAGCGUUGUUCGGAAUUAUUGGGCGUAAAGCGCGCGCAGGCGGAUGAAUGUGUCAGAUGUGAAAUUACGGGGCUCAACCCCGCUAGUGCGUCUGAAACUGUUCAUCUAGAAUGUCGGAGGGGGUAGGGGAAUUUCACGUGUAGGGGUAAAAUCCGUAGAGAUGUGAAGGAACACCUGAGGCGAAGGCGCCUACCUGGACGAUUAUUGACGCUGAGGCGCGAAAGCGUGGGGAGCAAACAGGAUUAGAUACCCUGGUAGUCCACGCUGUAAACUAUGAGCACUAGUUAUUGGAGGUAUUGACCCCUCCAGUGACAAAGUUAACACGUUAAGUGCUCCGCCUGGGAAGUACGGUCGCAAGAUUAAAACUCAAAG